CAUGGAAAGCUCACACACUCAACUCAGUCUCGGCACCUAAUGGCUCAAAAACUGAUUCAACCUCAUCCAUGUUUACUUCUUCCAGAGAUGCUGGAUUCCACUUUGGAUUCUGCAAAGAGGCAAGAAAAUUCAAUGAAUGUUAUCACUAUUGGAAAGGACAUCAUAGAUUCAGUGCCUGCCUUCUAUUCUAUCUGCCAUUUUGACACGAAGCUACCUCAUUUUACAAAACAAGCUAAUAUCUUUAACUUGCAUCCAGUUUAAUGUGAUUAUCAACUUGGCCAGCAAUCAUGCCCUCCUUGCAGUGGCGGAGCUAGGGGGCAAAUCAAGCGGGGGCCGAUUCGAGGUAAAUGACUAGUAACCAACAAUUUUAUGUAUGCAUGAAGCCAUCGUCAUCGAGUGUGUGCUCAGUCUACCACAAGCCCCUUUGGAAAUUACUCUAAGGUAGGGGGGCCGUAGCCCACUAUGGCCCUAAUGUAGCUCCGCCAGUGCCUCCUUGCAAGACUCAAGUAAAUAGCAGGACCAAUUGUUGAGAAGUCUUUCUAAUUUCAAGAUUGGCCCUGCCCCUGACCCCCUCAUUUCUCAAAAAGUGAUUUAUAAUGUGCAACAAUUGGAAAUUUUAGUAUGUCAUCUACUUUGGUUUGUUUCAGCUUCUGGACAGUUUUGGAGCCACAGGAUCUCCAAAAGCCAGAAGCCAGGAGCACCAGUCCGUUAUAAUGCAGACACCAACCCAAUGAUACACGCACACAUUGACCAUACCUAUUUUUUGUCGGGUACUCAUGUACAGCUAUAUAUGCACAAGGCAAUGCAAUGAAUAUUAAUGUGUGGCAAGUUAUCUCUACUAGUUUCUACGGUCCAACUUAGUGCAUAAUGGAACCACGCUACUAAAUGGAGCUGUAAGUUUAAUAAGCCUUAUAAUGAGGAUAAGUUGAAUAUGCUGGCUUCUCAAAAACUGAAGUACCGUCCAUGCUAAGUAAUGGUAAUAGGACUCAUCUGGUAAGUUUAAGCUUAUAAUGAACUUUCACCCUAACCCACCAAUGCUCUCUAAAACAGAAUCAACUUCUCCUUCAAAAGGGAAGGGACCUUGAUGACUUCUUACUAUCGACCCUCAUUGCAGAAUACAGUUACAGUAAAUUUCUGGAUUAGGUAACAAUUAUGAUGCCACCAGUUGUAGAGGACAGCAGUUUGUUCUAGCCGGUUGAACAUUAUCUAAGUUCAAUCCGUAGAUCAGUAGAUAUGAGGUGCACCAAUGGAAGGCAGCGCUUAAUACAUGUACAACACAUGCCUUGUUUCGCAACAGUUUGCACAAAACAAUUUAUGAAAAGCAACGUCAUGGAUAACUUGCCUGGUCCUUGUCAACUAAAACAGCACGUACACCUUCAACAAAAUCAUUUCUAACCGACGACCUCAAAGCAAUGCGAUAUUCCAUUUUCAUAACACCAGCCAGCUGAAACAUGCCAAAAAACCAGAAAUAUCAAUAAAUAUAUAAAUAGUUCAUAAACAAUUUAAAACGUUCAGUUUCAUACAUGAUACUAGAUUCAUACCUUAGCUAAAUAGUGUUCACUAUUCCCGUACGCUGAUGCAACUUGAGAGAAAUGCCUUUGUGUUAAACAAAGAGAAAAUGGAGCACCUUUCUUAAUUCCUGCUAAAGCUUCAUUGGCCCAUUCUGCCACUGCAACCACCAAAGGAACAUGUAGGUGCAUAAAAAUUCUUAAAUAGCACACAGAAAGUAGGGCCAUUUUCAAAUAAAAGCAGUUGCCAUUUGUGUGAUAAAUAUAAGUGCUGCCUUUGGUGCACUAAAAGGGAAUGCUUCAUAAAAGGUUACCUGCAGCAUCACCACUUUGACUACGCUUCUUUAGCUCUUCCACAGAUUCAGCAACUGACUUAUCAGGACUGAAAGAAGAAAUGAUAUGUGGUAAAAGCUUUUCUAGUUGUGGCUCAGAUUCUGGUGCUUUCUUGUAUCCUGUCAGGACUGACUCAACGUCUCUGUGAGGAUCAUUUGUACUGCACAAGAACUUUGGAUAUCAACAUCAAAAGAUACAGAUGUGCAAACAGUUAUUGCACCAUGAGCUAUAAGAUACAUGCACGAGGAAACAGAAAAAAAAAUGUGGUUUUAACAUAUUAAGUAUGUUUUUCACCAAGUAAAGAUAAGGAACAUACAAGUUAGCACUCAAGAGGGAUUCCUUCAGAGACCCCAAAUUUCCAGAAGGUAUAUAGUGAGUACCAAGGCCUAUGAAUAGAGCAUCAGCAGGUGAUGAUAUCCUUUUUCCUGUAAUCCCAAGGUAAGCUCCUGAAAGAAGCAUAAGUGGUCUACGAUGAGAAGGAAAAUAGAAGCAUUCAGUACCAGAGAAAACAGGUGUACCCGUUUGGGAACAACUAACUUUCUCUAGAUUUUGUGAUAGUAGGGAAGGCCAUAACAAUGUCAUGACUCAUGCUGAUCAAACAGAAAAAAAAACCCUAUAACUAACAGUUUACAUAUUAAGAUGAUGAGCAAUUGCUAACUAAAUCUGAAGCCAAUUUUAGAACAAUAACAGAGACUGCUGAGAGCAAACAAAGCAAGGUGGUUAGAAGAUCAAACAUGGAAUGCAUGUGCAGAUCAGACUUGUACUCAGAACAAAAUUUUCAUGGAAUGCAUGAGGAAGGAGAGGAUAUCAAAGGCUAAAUACUAUGUGUUUUAUGCUACAUAUGGAAAAGAAUAUGCCAAUGAGGAAAUAAGUAGAGCAGUAGACAUUAGUUUACCAAUCAAUGCAACAAGGAAAAAGAAAGGAUUGUACCAACUGCACCCCCUCCUGGGGCUUUUGCACCAAUGUAAGCAAAGCCAACAUCUGGGAACAGGCCAAUACCAUUUUCAGGCA